AGAAGUAGAUACAGGCAGGGGCAGGAACAGGAGCAGAGCAGAAGCCCAAAGAGACAGUUUAGGGGACAUAAAACAGCAAAAAUGGAUUUAAAGGAAAGCCCAGUCAUUCACACUUAGAAGAAUUCCUGGACUAACAAUUCUAAGCCAAGGCAGCUGCGGCAACGUUGAGGCAGAAUCAAAACCUGGGGAAAGACCUUAGGUAUUCAGAACAAAACAAUCAGCAGGCGGGUCUGCGGCAUUCUAAGAACAGACACUGGCAGGAACAAAGGUUACAGAAGUGAAUGACUCUAAGAAUCAAGCAAGACAUGGAGUGGCAGAAAAUUAAAUUCUGAAUCCCUAAAAGACAUGAUGCAAAGAUGACCUCCUCUCCCAAGGACAUGUCCUCAUCCUGCGCUGACCGUGUGUGGUCAUUUCAGAAAAAGCGAACAAUGGAGAACCUGCUUGAAUGAUACUUAGACCUGGGACAACUGAAAGGAGUUGCACUUAUACAAUUCGGUGCAGUGGAGUCCCCUGGGAGGAGCCCCAGUCACACGGGAAGAGACAGUCACAGCUGUAAUAAAUGAUGGCUAGCAUGUAUCAAGCACUGGCCGAGUCCUCAGCAUACAUUACAUUACAGAAUUCAGUGUGCACCUCAACACUCUGGGGGUGUAUUUUAUAGGAGAACUGUGGCACAAAGAGGGUAAGUGUCUUACUAACAGUGUGGCUCAUCUGCCAAGCAGGGGUAAUCUGACCCCAUGAGGUUGCCACAAGUAUUCAAUUAGUUUUAUUUUACAGUUAGAACAGUGGCUGGCUGAAGAAGUAAAAUAUACAAGUAUUUGUUAUGCAAAAACAAAUAAGUCAUAAAUCUCCAUCUUAUAGGUAAGAAAAUGCAUUCUGGUUUUUGUUCUGUUGCUGACAAACUAUGGGACUUCAGGCAAGGCUGUGAAACUCUUGGGUCUUGAUUGCCUCCUAAAAACCUCAGCGUUUGUACUCAAUGAUUAUUUGGAUCCUUUUUC
rnacentral:lncRNA from 10 species